rnacentral:sRNA from 2 species
AUGUUGCAGAUCUGCGGGGGGAUGAGAAGCCCCGACCGGGGUUCGACUACUGGCGCAGCCAGUUGGACAGACCGCGAACGGAGUGAGUGGGCUGCCCGAAGGGCGAGCAAAGCGAGUCAAUCCCCCCCUCACCGCCA